rnacentral:rRNA from 1 species
GAUGAACGCUGGCUACAGGCUUAACACAUGCAAGUCGAGGGGAAACGACGGGGAAGCUUGCUUCCCCGGGCGUCGACCGGCGCACGGGUGAGUAACGCGUAUCCAACCUGCCUCUGACUGAGGGAUAACCCGUCGAAAGUCGGCCUAAUACCUCAUGGCAUCGUCUGCGGGCAUCCAACGACGAUUAAAGAUUUCAUCGGUCAGAGAUGGGGAUGCGUCUGAUUAGCUUGUUGGCGGGGUAACGGCCCACCAAGGCGACGAUCAGUAGGGGUUCUGAGAGGAAGGUCCACCACAUUGGAACUGAGACACGGUCCAAACUCCUACGGGAGGCAGCAGUGAGGAAUAUUGAUCAAUGGGCGAGAGCCUGAACCAGCCAAGUAGCGUGCAGGAUGACGGCCCUAUGGGUUGUAAACUGCUUUUAUGCGGGGAUAAAGUGAGGGACGUGUCCUUCAUUGAAGGUACCGAAUGAAUAAGGACCGGCUAAUUCCGUG